rnacentral:rRNA from 1 species
UAGUCAUACGCUCGUCUCAAAGAUUAAGCCAUGCAUGUCUAAGUAUAAGCGUUUAUACAGUGAAACUGCGAAUGGCUCAUUAUAUCAGUUAUAGUUUACUUGAUAGUGCCUUACUACAUGGAUAACCGUAGUAAUUCUAGAGCUAAUACAUGCGUAAGUCCCGACCGGCAACGGAAGGGAUGUAUUUAUUAGAUAUAAGCCAACGCGGUCAGCAAUGGCCGGUUUUUGGUGAGUCAUAAUAACUUUUGCGGAUCGCAGUGCGGCUUGCCGCGGCGAUGAAUCAUUCAAGUUUCUGCCCUAUCAGCUUUCGAUGGUAGGGUAUUGGCCUACCAUGGCAUUAACGGGUAACGGAGAAUUAGGGUUCGGUUCCGGAGAGGGAGCCUGAGAAAUGGCUACCACCUCCACGGAAGGCAGCAGGCGCGUAAAUUACCCAAUCCUGACACAGGGAGGUAGUGACAAGAAAUAACAAGGCGGGGCUUUCAUAGUCUUGCUUUUGGAAUGGGGUGAAACUAAAUCAAUUGCCGAGAACCAAUU